AAAAAUCUGCUCUGUAUGUUAAUUGGCUGACACUGCCUUUUCCUUACAAACCUAUUAGAUACUUGCUGUAAAGAAAUCAGCCUGCCAGUUUGGUUUCAACCCAUAACUUUUGACUCUGACCAGAACUGGGCAUAAACCAAUGAAGAUAAUUUUCGUAUUGUUUGAACUGAGAAAACUGUUGAGCCCUUCCUUCCUCUCACACUGUGGUAAAGACAAGGAGAACUGAGCCCCCGGGCAGCCCAUAAAUUGACAAAUGUGGCUCCCCAACUAGCCACAAGAGAUGCUGUCUUGCACCCAUCCAGGGAACAAUGUGCAGAAUUUGCACCAGAGACAAUAUGGGUUUGAACAGGGGAUACUGUAGAGGAGCUGCUGAUUGCAGAGGGAGGGCAGUGAGUUGGGGCAGCCAUGCCCUGUCUGGGAGUGGAAUUCCUUCUCCUUGAUCAAUGGCCUGGUCUGAGAGGUACAGGGAUGGUACAGACUGGAGAGCACUGGAACUGCACCACUGGGAGUAUUCUAAGAUUACCUCAACUACUGAUCACCUCGCUAAGUGGUUGCUUCACCCAACUGUGGCCAGAAUGGGAAGUGUUGUGACUGAAGUCAAUUAUCUUGAAGUCCUUGGGAAGGGAGAGGUACAAAGGCUACACCUCAGUGAGCUGUCAGUGGUCUCAGGAUCAGAUGCCAACUGCAGUGCAUUGGUGAGGUUGUACCUUGGAGCUGAAUUCUUCAGAGCCUGGCACCUGGACAGAUGCAGGAGCAUUUCUCCUGGGAACAAAAUGAAGUUGCUGGGAAACAGCUGACAUAUAAACCCACAAGGAAGAACAGAACACAAGAGGGUAAAGCACUGAUGCCUACAGCAAAUAAUUCACUCAAUAGGUGUGAGUUGUCCUCACCGCUUCCACCUGUUAAGAAAUGUCUGCAAAUGAUGUCGUGGGAAGGGCAGAAACACCUGGAAUUUACCACAGUAACAUCCUCAGAAACUCACCUUCUCCAUCUGAAAGAAUAAGAGCUCACAACAGGUUUAUUUACAGCCCAUGUCUCUUGGGCCUCAAUAGUUCACUGCUCUUGAAUGUAAGGAAGAGAUGCAAGUAUGUACAAGACAGUUUUGACCUCAG
rnacentral:lncRNA from 1 species